UUGUUUAACUAUUAUGAACCCGUCAUCAUUAUUGAAUAGUUUCAUAAAUUAUGAAAGUUACCAUGCUAGAACUAGUAACAAGAAAAUGAAUUUCUCCAUAUUGUAAGCUUACACCAAAAUGGACUCCCCAUUGGUACUUAACGUUAAUGAUCCUAAUAUUUCAACAACUCAAGAAAACUAAAUAGCUUAAAUCGUUAACCUUACACUAGAACACUCCUGGAAAGAUUAAAAGGAAGAGAAGGAACUCGGCAAUAUCUAGUCCCGCCUGUUUACCAAAAACAUCGCCUCUUGCACCCACCCAUAAGAGGUCCCGCCUGCCCAGUGAUUAAUUUAACGGCCGCGUGAUUUUAAACGCGCAAAGGUAGCGAAAUCAUUUGUUCUUUAAAUGAGGACCAGUAUCAACGGCAUCACGAGGACUCAACUGUCUCCUCUCCCAAAUCAGUGAAACUAAUCUCCCUGUGAAAAAGCAGGAAUAACAAUAUAAGACGAGAAGACCCCAUGGAGCUUUAAACUUUAAGCAACUUUUAAUACUACAUUCCUUAAAAUAUUCUAGCUAUGCCCAAUAGUUUUAGGUUGGGGCGACCGCGGAGUAAAACUUAGCCUCCAUGACAAAAGGACAUUUCCUAAUCCAAGAAAGACAUUUCUAAGAAUCACUAACCUGAUGUUUCAUGACCCGACUAUCGAUCAACGAACCAAGUUACCCUGGGGAUAACAGCGCAAUCCAUUUUGAAAGCUCCUAUCGACAAAUGGGUUUACGACCUCGAUGUUGGAUCAGGAUACCCAGGUGGUGCAGCCGCUACUAAA
rnacentral:rRNA from 1 species